CUCUUAUCGAGAGAGGUAGAGGGAAUGGCCCGAUGACACCUCAGCAACCUUCAUUUGUUUCAAACCAAUGAAAAGGUGCUAAUUCCACAAGUUUAUGAACUUGGAAGAUAAGAA
rfam:Bacillus sp. FJAT-22058 super1, whole genome shotgun sequence.